UACAAAAACCCUGAAUCAGGCACUGGUAAGUAGCUAUACUGGGUGCUACUCCUUGAUCAAUCAUUUCAUUAAAUAUUUCCAUAGCCUCGUCCAUUUUAGCCAUCCUGCAAUGUGCAGCUAUGACUGUCGAAUAGGUUACCACAUCAGGUUUUGCUCCUUGCUGCCUCAUUUCACUGAAGAUAAUCAUAGCCCGAUCCAGCAUUCCACAUUUAGCAUAUCCCUUGAUCAGUACAUUGAAGAGGUCCGUCAGGUGCAACACCGUCUCCUAGCAUCAAAUUGAAGAGGUCUGUCAUAUCAACAAAGCAACCUUCAGUAGCGUACCCAUCAAGCAGAAUUAGGUAUGAGACAGUAUCAGGCUCCUGGCCCUUCGUUGCGAUCGAGUCAAAAACAUCUCUAGCUUCCUUAAUUUUUCCAUGCUUGCAAAGGGAAGCCAAUAACGAGUUCCACGUAGCAAUAUCUGGUAGGAGACCCCACCUAGUCAUCUCUUUGAAUAUCUUGACCGCCUCAUUCCACUCACCCCUAGAGGAAUAUCCAUAGAUCAAGCAAUUAUAUGUCCUGUUAUUUGGUUGAACACCUUUAUGAACCAUUUGUCGGAGGACCACCUCUGCCUUGUCCAUUGCCCUUGCCUUACACAGUGCAUCAAUACUGGAGUUGUAAGUCACUAGAUUAGGUGAAAUCCCCUGCUGCAUCAUUUCAUUUAUUAGAUCACAUCCUUUAUCAACUUCACCCUCCUUAAAGAAGCCAUCGAUGACCGUGUUGUAUGAGACCACGUCGGGCGAGCAGCCAGAUCCCUUCUCAGCCAUCCUCUGGAGCAAUUCGAGAGCCCUCCGACUCUCUCUGCUGUCGCAGAAGCUCUUCAUAAGUAUGCUGUAGGAGACAACAUCGGGCACACAGCCAAACUCGGGCAUCCUGUGGAGCAGCACGUCCAAAGCGUCGUCAGUCCGCUUUGCUAAACAGAGGCUCUUGAGGAGGUUGUUGAAGGUGGUGACACUGACGCCCAACCCUGUCCUGAGGAGCCGGCCGAAGAAGGCCAGCGCUAGACCCGGGUGGCACGCACGGGUGCAGCAGCCCAUGAGGAUGCUGUAGGUGUGGAACGAGAGCGACAGCACCUUUGGGCCGGCAGCUCGUGACAUGGCGUUGAAGAAAGUGACGGCGAGCACAGGCCCGUCCCUGCAGGCGGUGGAGGGCGGCGCGCGCGCGAGCGCGGCGAGGAAUCCGUUCAGCGCGCGCUCGGGAACGGGGGUGCCUCGCCGCCGCAAUUCGUCGAGCAGGUGGCGUGCGUCCUCUGGGCCGAACGCCCCGGACCGCGCGCGCUCCGUCGUGGCGGCCAGGGCAAGGUGGGGAGCGCGCGGUUUCGGCGCUCUGGAGGAUGAGGCGGCGGCGGCGGUGACGACUGUGGAGAGCCGCGCACGGGACGACAUGGCCGCGAGCGAUUUCGGCCGCCCGGUAACGCCGUCUGUCCUGUCCUUCGGCGAGAGGCCGGCCUCGCUCCUGCGCUGUCUCUAGCGGAGCUCAGCGCGCGCUCGCGCCACCAGGUCGGGUGGAGCAGGCUCGCCGCCUCCGGCGGUUGCCAUCACCGCGGCAUGCCCCCCACAGGCACAGUGGAGGCCGUGGCGCUGGCGCGUCGGGGACGGCGCAAAAUGAGUAGCCGUAGAGCGGCGGGGUCGCGGGUUGGUGAGAAGCGCUGGGCAGUGGGCACAGCGGGAUCGGAGCUCCGUGGCGCACCGCCGGUGCUGCACGGCGCGGCGGGGAAACAGAGGAGAUGGAACUGCUGGGCCUUUGACUGGGCCGCAACGAGAAGUACUUGCUGUCACCACGGGUAAUUUUCCUAAUUUGUUUGCCACAGUUAAGUGGUUAUUUCAUUUCGUUCGCUCCAGAACAUUGGUGAGCAAAAUCAUCCAUAGGUGAUUUCUUUUUUUUUUGAAAAAUAAACUGCAAAAUAUCAAGCGAAAGUAGCCUAUGCUUUCUUGCUUCGUGCAGUGCCUAUGAAUGAUUUUGCUCGCCAAUACCCAGUAGAGAACGAAAAUAAAAUAACCACUUAAUGCGGUAAACCAAAUUAAGUGAUCAAGUUCGAUGCACUACAAAAUUGCAGUCAUGGUCCCUCAUGUUCUACGGCUCACUUUUUGACAUUGAAAAAUAUGUUCGAGGAAAAAGACAUUGAAAAAAAAAUAUGGUCGUGCGUUUGUGGCAAGCAAUGUCCGAAUUACAGAGAUCUCCGCUGAACCAAAAAAAACAGGGCCUGCAAUCCAUUUAGGCAAACAGCACCUUACGUUAAUUCUCAUGUUCAUUGUGCUUCUUGCCUUCCUCGCCAAGUUCGGCUAUAAACUAGUAUAGUGCUGCGAUAUUGUAGUGGAUCUACAUUUCCUUUUUCAAGUCUAUGCAAAAAAGAGCAUGGGAACUGAAAUAUUUGCUAGACAAUAUAAUUUCAGAAUUCGCAACAUAAAUUGUUUAUCUGCAUCCAAGAGCAACCACACGAAUAUAAUGCCCAUGUCGUCACUAAAUCGAAUAACGCAUCGGCUGCAAACAAGAUUAAAAAAAUGAAAUUGUAUAUUUCCCAUAAGCUUAACAUCUGGAAGUCCGUAAAAGAACAUCACGUCUGCUAAAAGAAAGAAUCAGCUUGAAAAGGGAACUAAGAUCUGAAAAUGAGUGGACACAUCAAUACAUAGUAUUUUGUCUUCUCUUAUACAUCUAUAAUAAAGCUCUUUAUUUUUCAGACUUGGUGCAGAUCACUUUAUCACUUGAGGCACACUGGUAACAAACUGAAAUGCCUGUGUGUUCAGAAAUCAGAAUACAAUUCUGAGCUGCUUUUUCCAACGCAUACGGACUAAAAUUCAGUUAUGCACCGUUCACGUGCCCACCGAAUUUCAAAAGAUUCUAUAUCUCUGCAUAGAUAGAUUUACCACUACAAAUUCUUUAAAAAAAGAAAAGAAUUUACCACUACAUCAACACCUGUGUCAUACAUCUGCAACCAUUCCUUAGAGAGCAGAGCAUAAUGGAGUUGGAACCCUGAGAAGACUCCACCAUUCAGAUGCACCAGACAGUUUUUCUUCCCAGUUGACUCCCCUGUCGACAAUAAACUGAUGCGAACCAUUUACCAUGUAGAGUGGGAGUGGCUUCAAAGACAUGAAGGACAGGUAGACAAUAGUAACUUCAAGCAGACAUGGUAAAUUGCAGCUGUCAAGGAAGGUUUGGAUCUAGCUUUUAAUCUUGUGAAUUAUUGAUACAACAUGGUGGAUCAUCACAAAAUGAGCAUUGUCCAAACUGUAACUAUGUUGGUGGGGGAUUACAAAAGAAGAACAAGGUGACAUAAGUACAACAAGAGGCCUGUCUGCAGUUUAAACAAAUACGAGGCCAUUCAGCUUCCCAUUUAGAAACAGAGAUCAAAGAGCUACGAUUGCAGGAGCUCAUCUAAGGCGGCAAGAAAUGUGGACAUGCAUGCUUAGCAGCAGUAGAACUUCAGUUUCCUAGGGUCAUUGACGCUGUUGUCGCUGACAAGCUAUAAUAACUCUGUGGCCAUCAGAAAACUAGCUAUUGCAUGCACGUAGAGAUGGCUCAUCGCUUCAGUUAUGGACAACUUUCUUGUUAUAUGCCACACACUCCUCCCCCCACCAUCGCUGUGUGAUAGUGCCUCAAGUCUUUGUCUGCUCCUGCCACGUCAAUGGCGCUAAGGAAACCACAAAAACAUUGACAGGAAUAAUUGAGCAACUUGGAAUAACAUAAAUACCCUAUCUAUCAUAAAGGCACUGAUCAAAAGCAAUUGGUAGUUUGUUACGAUUAGCUAAAAUAACAUCUCAAAAAUAUAUGCAACCACUUUUGAGGUCAUAAAAUGCUUGAUUAUUUUAGUCUGCUAUUUUUCAUUCUGCUAAAUUAAUUCUAGAGCGCAAGUGUUGGUGGAUGAACAAUUUGUGUUUUUUUUGCUGGUGGAACAAAGUUAAUGAUUUGUUGUCAUUUCCGCAUAUAAAUAAUAUAAUCAAGGUAGCUUAAAUAAUAUAAUCAAGGUAGCUGUUGUACAUACAUCUAUACGCCUAUCACAAGGUUUGGACAGUCCUAAAUAUGGGCUGGACGCCAAGACACAUCUGAUAUGAAGACCAUAGUGCAGGAAGGCAUAGUCUACAUGGAAAAAUAGGAACUAGUCGAGGAUCAGGAAAGUACUCAUUGUAAUGAGUGUAGAACUCCUUUAGUCGUAUUCGACUAGUAUUCUUGUAACCAAUCGACUUGCAACCCUGCCCUCAGAAAUAUAAGGCGAGGCAGGGACCCCUCCAAAGCAAUUCAAUCUACCCAACACAUAGGACAUAGGGUAUUACGCAAUCUAGCGACCUGAACUUGUCUAAAUCGUGUGUCUGCGUUUACCUUCAAGUUUCUGAUCUCGAUGAGCCCCACUAACUAAAACACUACCUCGGGCACCCCCCUCGGUAGGUUGCCGGGCUUAAACACCGACACCAGGUAGAGGGUCUCGCCGAGAAUCCACUGGUGAACUCGAUGGCACAAGUCAUCAUCAAGCCAAUCGUCGCGUUUGAAGCAGGCGCGACGUUCGUCUUCGGCUCCUGGGUUUGCAUUGCAUACGGUGCUGGAAAUUUCCGCCGCCACAUUGCGUCGACCCCGGAGAAGAAGCAGCAAACCAUGAAGCUCCAGCGCCAAGGUCUGGAGGAUCUCGUCAAGAAUUUCGGUGAAUUUUUAAUUUCUGACCUAGUCAGAAGCUGGGGGGACGAGUCCAAGUUCAACUCGACUUCUUCCACUAGUAGGAUUGGCUUUCAUGAGCUGGCACAUAAGCCAUCGUGCGAGUCAGACUACCACCCGAGUCGAUUUCCAUUUAGACUCCGCAACGUGACCACUAUUUAUCAGGCUACCCUGUCCACAUCACAAUCCGAUACGGAUACGAUUGAUGACCUCGACUACUACUCGGAUCCGGACGAGGAGACUCCUUUAUCAGGUCCACAGCAGGGCCUGGUAAUCACAUCAACUUCCCAAGGCAGAUUCAUCUACUGGCCCAACAUAAAGCCACCCGCUCUUGCCAAAGACGACGAUUCGCGCCUCAUCGCCUACCUUGACACUCUCCCGUACCAGGAGGGAGCUCCUCUGUUGCCCAUCUAGAGGAAGGUGUCGGUGUUUUAACCCAGCAACCUAUCAAGGGAGUACCCGAGAUAGUGUUUUGGUUGGUGGGUGUCGUCGAAAUCAAGGAGUCGGUAGUGACGCAGGGACACGAUUUAGAUAUGUUCGGGCCGCUAGAUCGCGUAAUACCCUAUGUCCUGUAUGUUGUAUGCUUGUAUUCAAUUGAACUUGUUUUGAGGGGAUCCCUGCUCGCCCUUAUAUAUCAGGGGAGCAGGGUUACAGGGUAGUCUUCAGUACAAGAGUACUAAUCGGACAAGACUACAGAGUCCUACUCUAACUCGGCAGAGUAGUUCCCUUGUAUUCCGACUAGUCCUUCAGGAGUUCCAUGUAGUCUGUGUUGCCCUAUAGCGUAGUCUUCAUGUCCUGAUACGUCUUGAGUACGUCCCCUUGAGUGGGUCCGUACAGACCUUCUGGUGGGUCAGGGAUGUAUGGUCGACAAGCCCCUGAGUACUUUGUAGUCAAAUGAAAGAGUUUUGAGUACUCAGCAGACGUUGCUCGACUAGUCUUCGGUGCUCGUUGAGUACUUCCGUCGUGGCUAGUCUCCAAGUACUCGAAUGCUAUCAUGCGGCUAGAAGGUACUCCUGCCCCAUUUUGACAUUGUUUUUGAGUAGUUUGUCUUCAAGUCUUUAUAUGGACGUGCGAUGCAAUCGCACUCCAUAUGGAGUAGCCCCCGAGCCUUAGGUUGAAUCGUAGAAUUAGGCUGAGGGUCAAACUGAAUUUUGCUACAUCUUUCCUUAAUCUCUGAAGAAAAGAAAAUUUUGUCCGAUGGGCAAGGUGUCUGCAGCCCACGAGCACUUGAUCGACUCUGUCCAGGCGAUGAAGGGAUCAAUCAUGAUCAACAUGACCGUUAGACUUCAAUAUCGCGAUAAAUCUUGAUAGUAUCAGACCGUUGCGAGAUUACCAGCUACGUCCCCAAAAUCGCGGAGCCGUUUUAGAUCUGUUGCGAUGUUAUAAAAGGUAAGGCCGGUAGCCUUUGUGGUUUAUGCUUCCAGCCAUUCGCAUCUGUCGUUCUCCAUCUUGAAAAAUCCUAGCACUGCUGCUUGCGCCGUCGCUGCCAUCAGCCAAAGUAAGCGACCUCAAGUAGCUUUCUAUUCCUCCCCUUACGCUGAAGCGUCCCCACAUCAGCGAAGACUAAAUGUGAUGCAAAUAUCAGUCCCAGGAGGCGGAUAACACAUUUAUUCAACAGAUAGUUCAAAUACCGUACAACUCCCGAGGGAGUGGGCGUGAAAGCCACGCCACGAUAAUAAGCAAAUAAAUAACAACAGCUAGCCAAGCGACUGCCAAAAGACAGCACUCGAGACUACACGGCAGCAGAAGCAUCUUGCGAAGGCUAACACCACAGGCAACGUUGGGUGCAGACUUGACCUCCUACUCAAAAUCCUCGGCGAUGAAGUCCGGUCUUCCUCUGUAGCAACGAAGCAAGGGUAAGUAUAGAAGUACUCAACAAGUCCAAUCCCAUCCACGGAGGGGGAUAAAAUUGUUGGGAUACGAGGUAGGCUACGCUAGCGCAAAUCAAAAUUUUUCUACCGCGUAAACCAGGAAAACUGUCAUAUACGGACCACGGGAUUACCACUCGAUGCAUUGGUGCGGAAGAUGUAGAAUCGCGUCGGGGCAACGAAGACGAUCAGCGUAGUCGAACAUAGUCGAUCACGUCAACGUUGAGCGGCACCUCAGCAGCUCGUCCACAUGCAGCAAGGUCGUCCUUGUGCCGCGGCUCAUCAUCGGCUCGUCGUGGCUCGUCAACGGCUCGUCGUAGCUCGUCAGCAGCUCGUCCAAGUGCUGCAGGCGCAACACCUCCAAGGUAUCCACACGUGCAAGGAGGAAGCGUCGCAAGCCGGACUGCUAGGUCCGCGAGUUGUAACAGGCGAGGGCAUGGGAGGCGCGGCAGAUUUGUUUCGCCAAAAAGGUGUAAACUCUAGGGUGCCCCCACCCCUCUAUUUAUAGAGGUUCCUGAUGGGUCUCUGGGUCCGAGGCCCAUUAGUACUUUUAAACCUGAUCCAACUCGGAUCAUAUCCGAAUUGGGCUUCCAGCCCCUUAAGUGUGUGACCCUAUGGGUUCGGAUACGUAUAGACAUGGCCCGAGUACUCCUACUCGGCCCAAUAGUCGGUAGCGGCCUCUAGCAAGACGUGCCAACUCUUAUACGCACACGAAGAUCAUAUCAGACGAACCAUCACAACGUCACGUACAUGCUAUUCCCUUUGCCUCACGAUAUUUGGUCUAGCUCCAAGCCGACCGCUCUUUCUCGAUCUUGUGAUUCGGAAUCCCUUUGUAGGUUAACUCUUAACCGUACGUAGCAUGGCCAUGCAUUUUCGAAUCCGAUCACUCGAGGGGCCCAGAGAUAUCACUCUCAAUCAGAGAGGGGCAAAUCCCAUCUUGAUUGACCAUGCCUCACAGCAUGCUUCCUGACAAACCCGAAAGCUACUUUUAUAACUACCCUGUUACGGUGUAGCAUUUGAUAGCCCCUAAGUGAGUCGAUUCACAUCUUGAAUACAUGCGACAAUCUCAGGUCUAAGGACAAAGCGUACUUGUUGUGUAAAGAGAAAACUACUUCUCGUGUUGGGUCAGUCCUAGCACAUGUCUCUACAUAUGCCUACAUCAUUAGUUUGACAUCUCCAUAUCCAUGACUUGUGAAACAUAGUCAUCAACUAAUACAUGUACUAGUCUAAUAUUCCUGUGUGUCCACACAUGAACUCCGACUAGGGACAACUUUUAGAAUAACCAUACAAGUAAAGAGUUUCACAUACAAUUCACAUAAUUGCAAAUCAAUUCAAGUAGCCUUUAAUGGAUAUUAAGGGAAUACAAUAUACAAAUCAUGGAUACAAUCAGAUAUCAUCAUCUCUAUGAUUGCCUCUAGGGCAUACCUCCAACAACAAUCAAGAAUAUGCACGGAUAUUAACAAGGAUAAGGCUAAGGUUCAUUUGCAAUAAAGCUAGAUUUUCAACACAUGCAAGGGUUCAUUUUUCAAAAGAGUUUUCACAAAUUUUUCCUUUGGUAACCGAAACAUUAAGUGGGGUUGAUCCUACACAAAGGAUCAAGAUUUUAUUGCUACCGGGCUCCCCGCUCGCAGUAGCUCACAGUUCAACAGCUGGACACUUCCAAAAUCCAACACACGCCAUAAAAACCAUCCAUAUCCAAAUGCUAGUUAUGUGACCAAGCCGUAACUCGUCCAAUGCCGUGGACACAACUACCCGAAUAGGUUUUAACUCUGCAAAGGUUGUAUGCUUUUCCCACAAGUAGGGUACCGCACCUCGAUCACCUUAGUGCUGGUGCGGAUCCUAACAAAGUCAUUACCCACCUUAGCUAAGACUGACUAGUCCACAUGGAAGCGACCAAGGGGUUAAUGACCUACCAACGAUGUCUUAACCGGGACCUAAGUCACAAUGAUCUUACUCCUUUUCCAUGGGCUCCCGUUGCUCACCAGCUCACCCAAAGACUACCAGUUUAGCUAGUGGGAUUUAUGCUAAGCCGUCACCCAUACGACGGUCGAGUGGUUGCACGAUGGUUGAAUUAGGCAAGAUGACACAUCAACUCGGUCCUUAACCAUGACAAGAUGGAUAUCUCCCAACCUUACUCAACCAUAAAGGUACGAGCCCAACUUGUUGGCAUUUCACACAAGAAACAUCCAUCCAUCUCAUCUAAGCAUUACCUUUCUUUAUUUCCGAACCCAUCUUUCUCAUUUGAAAACACUCACACAAUUAUUCUUUAAAUAAACUAUUGUAGUCAUGAUUGAAUUCGGGUAACAAGGUCCUAAGCAUUCUAGCAGUAACUAUCAUCCAAACAGAGCGAAUCAUAUUUAGCGAUAACUAUAGGACAACCAAGAAAUAAUCAUAACAAUCAAGGGGUGGCUAUCCAACCAUGUCUUGCAAUAAAACAAUAUGCACUUUUAUAAAAUAGGCCAAUAGGUUGUGUUUGAAAAACUAGGAAUAAAUAUGCAUCAAAGGGUGAGAUUGGACUUGCCGUCCUCAAAGCCUUCCAGGAGUUCCCGCUCGCGGUGCUGGUCCUCGGGCUCGGGCUCGCGGUCAAACUCCUCCUCGUGCUCCUCCUCGAGUACUCCGCGAUCUACGACACACACAAACGAGCACACAAUAAAUAAAAAAGAAAAUAAUAUUUUACCCAUUGAGCUCCGAACAGAGAAUGCGAAUGGAAAAUAGGUGGGAUGAGUAUUUUCAUGAAAUUUGGAUAUGCCUCGACGGAAGUAUACUGGAGGAUGACGUGGUCGGAUUUGGGAUUAAUUGGAAGAAGUUUGGCGCAUGAAAUGACGAGUUAAACAUGUAUUAAGGGCUUAAAAGGAGGUUUAGGAUUGAUCUGCGAUAAAUCAGGGACCUAUUUGUAAAUAUUUUCGGGUGGUGGAGGGGCACCUCUGUGAAACAACCUUUGGAGAGGUGGAAGGGUUAUUUCGUGAAUAGAGAGAAGUAGGGGGUUAGAUCGAAAUUGGGGGGUGAUUUUCUCCUCUUCUUCCUUGGUUCAGGAAUAGAGAAGGAGAGGGAGGAGAUGGCCGGUCGGUGGCCGGCUGGCCGAGCCUCACCGGCGGCUAGCCGUGGGGCGGGGGAGGUGGAGGAAGUGGAGGGGGUCCCGUUUUGCCUUUUACCUCGGAGAUUCGGGGAUGGGACAGGGCGGCCAGUGGUGGCUCUUGGGCGGCGGUGCACGGCGCGGUGGUGGCGGCGGUUGGGCGCAGGGAGGCGAGCAAGAGGGAGGGGCGGUGGCACUGGUGGCUGGGAGAUAGGGCGAGGUGGGGCGUCGCCACCUUUCCUUUUAUAGGCCGGCGGGGAGCCGAGCCGGCGGGCGGCGCGACAGGUGGCGGCGGGGCUCGGGCAGGCACUGGCGCCGAUGGUAGGGGACGCCGGGGGGGGCGGGGCGAGCGGCGGGCGGCGCAAGAGGGGCUGGGGGUAGGGUUGGGCGGGCGAGCCCCGGCCGCGGCGGGCAGCGCCAGCACCGGCGCCGGGUGCGCUGCCGGCGCGCAGGGGGGCCGGGCGCAGGGGGCAGGGGGUCAGGCGCCAGAGGGAGGCCGUGGAGUAAUGGCGCUGGGAAGGGGGCCGGCCAAGAGGGGCCAGGCAGGCGGCGCAGGGGGUCAGGCGCCAGGAUGUGGCGCUGGGCGCUAGGAAGAAAGGAGGAGGGAGAAAGAGAAGAAGGAAGAAGGAAGAAGAAGGAAGAAGAAGAAGGAAGAAAGGAAGGAAGGAAGGGAGAGAAGAAAAAUAGGGGAAAAGAGAAAGGGAGAAAGGGAGAGUCGGUGGCGAUUGCGGAAUGCGGUCGGAGCACACGCGGCAGUCUGUCGAUCGGCACGCGGCGAAAAUUACAGGAGAGGAUAAAAUGAUGGCUGUUGGCUUUGGGUGCCGGGAUGGAGAAAUCGCCGGGAAGAUUUUGGAUUUUCGAGAGCUCAAUGGUAAAAAGGUUUUGGAAACAAUUUUUAGCGAAUGAUUUGAGUUGGUGAUUUUUGCGGAUGUUACAUACACAUCCCAAGGUAAUACGUGUGAAGAAGAUGGGGAAAAAGACUGACAAGUUUAAGGGAAAAGCCGCGGAAGAACCGAUGAAGGAUUCCAAGAAGGGGAAGGAGGCACAGCUUCCUCUGCCCAAAUGUGGGCCUACCAAUCAGACCGCUCCCCCAAAUCAAGCAUCCGCUUGGAAGAUGUCCACCAUGAAGAAGGAAGCAAUCUAAGAUUUGUUGGAUGCAAAAUUGCUGCAAGAGGAGGCCAUCAUGAAUUGGAGGUGCGCCUAUGCUAAUGCUUGGAACUUUGAGGUCCAUCCAAAAGAGACAGUGAUUUGGGCUCAUUUUGUGGAGAGAGGACUUGUUGUUUACUACGUCAGAGUUCUUCAGAGGUAUCAUCAACUUUUACGACCUUCAGCUUGUUCAUCUGAAUCCCAAUGGGAUAUUGCAUAUUGCAAUCUUUGUGCAUAUAUGUGAAGCAUAUUUAGGGAUACAACCCCAUUUUUAAUUGUUUCGCAAGCUUUUCCGCUGCAAACCCCAGCCUAGUCAAGAUAGGAUGGCAGUUCUCAGAGGCGCGGGGUUUCAGUUGAGGGACUCCGAUGUGUAUUUGGAAUAUGAGACUCCGGCGUCCCAUGGUGCCUAGAGGUAAGAGUUCAAAUGGCUAUAGAGGCCGUUCACAGUCUAGAGGGAAAGACAAAAAGUUCUGCAAUUAUUGCAAGAAGAACACUCAUCAUAUAUCUGAGUGUUAUAAAUUGAAAAAUAAGGAAAUACAAAAUAGCACAUUUAAGCCUAAAGGUAAAACUGAAAAUGAAGGUAAUGCUUUAGUUGCUGCUGAAAGUGGCAGUGAAGGUGAUGUGCUUGUUGCUUUUGCUGGAUGUGCAAAGAUUGAUGAUGAAUGGAUUCUUGAUUUUGCCUGCACUUUUCAUAUAUGCAUUCAUAAAGAAUGGUUUAGCACUUAUGAGUUAGUGCAAGAUGGUGGUCCUGUGUUAAUGGGUGAUAACACACCAUGUAAGAUUGUAGGCAUUGGAUCCAUUCAAAUCAAGAUGUCCGAUGGUAUUAUUAGGAUCUUGACUCAUGUGAGGCACAUUCCAACUAUGACGAGAAAUCUCAUCUCGUUUAGUACUCUAGAUUUGAAAGGAUAUAAAUACUCUGCUGGAGGUGGAGUUAUGAAGAUAUCCAAUGGUUCUUUUAUCGUUAUGAAAGGAUAAUAUUAGGAUGCAGACCGAUACUUACAAUUAUGUCAAAUAUAUCCUGCGCAUCCAGUACCCUUCCCUCUUUGCAACUGAAGAACACAAUGUCAGGACGCAUGCCUUUACUCAUCAUUUCAAAAACCAAUUCCUUAGCUUUCAGCAAACCACCAUGAGUAAAAAAAACCUGAAUCAGGCACCGGUAAGGAGCUAUACUGGGUGCUACUCGUUGAUCAAUCAUUUCAUUAAAUAUUUCCAUAGCAUCGUCCAUUUUAGCCAUCAUGCAAUGUGCAGCCUUGACUGUCGAAUAGGUUACCACAUCAGGUUUCACUCCUUGAUGCCUCAUUUCACUGAAGAUAAUCAUAGCCCGAUCCAGCAUUCCACAUUUAGCAUAUCCCUUGAUUAGUACAUGAAAAUACGGUCAUCAGGUGCAACACCAUCUCCUAGCAUCAAAUUGAAGAGGUCUGUCAUAUCAACAAAGCAUCCUUCAGUAGCGAAUUAGGUAUGAGACAGUAUCAGGCUCCUGGCCCUUCAUUGCGAUCGAGUCAAAAACAUCUCCUUAUUUUUUCCAUGCUUGCAAAGGGAAGCCAUUAAUGAGUUCUAUGUAAUAAUAUUUGGUAGGAGAACCUGACUAGUCAUCUCUUUGAAUAUCCUGACCGCCUCAUUCCACUCACCCCUAGAGGAAUAUCCAUAGAUCAAGCAAUUAUAUGUCAGUUGAACACCUUUACGAACCAUUUGUCGGAGGACUGCCUCUGCCUUGUCCAUUGCUCUUGUCCAAGAAGAGUUGUCACUAUACUCCUUAUAUCUUUGCUAUAAUCAAGAUAGUGACACAAUUGAAGAACCUGACGGAUAAGGGUCAUCCGGUAUACAAGCCCAAAAAAAGUCACAUUGAGCGACUAUGCAAGAUUGGUUCUCAUGGUAUUCAUCCUCCACCUCCACAAGAACCUUCUCAUGGGGCUUCAUCUUCUCAAGGACCCUCUCAUGGAGCUUCACCUUCUCAUAGACCAUCUAACUCUAGAGGUCCUCCACCCUCCCAUGCUCCGAAGAAGAAAGGGAUCUUGAAUUUCUUAUUACAGGGUCUAUUUGCAUGCUUCAAUGUGGGCCAGCACAAUGCGGAAGAGAUGUAUGCCCAUAAGAAGCAUGUGGAUGAGCAGCUGUUAAAAAUUGAGAAAAGGCAAAAGGAGCUCAUGGCCAAGAAUGAUAUACCACAUUCUCCCAUUCGUGCUCCUAUGGAUUAUCCUCCUCCACCGGUGUUCUACAACCCAUGGAAGGAAAUUGGACAGCCCUCCAUGGUCUUUGGGGCUCUCCAAGAAGAAGAUGAUGAAGACUUGGGUGGGCGAGAGGAGUCUGAGGAGGAGGAAGAAGAUGUCCCCGCUGCUCGUACUCCUACCGAUGAGGGUGAAGAUAAUGAGGAGGAGGAUGAGGACGAUGAUGAUGAGUGAUGGCUAUGGAAGGACCUCCCCUUUUUGGAGCUUGAUGCCAAAGGGGGAAUGAGCUCACCAUGGACCAUGUGGUGGCUGCUAUAUCUAUCAUUUUUCUGAGCCUUAGUUUGUUGGCUUGUGGACAUGUAAGAUAUUUAUGUGUAGUGUGCCACAAGUGAGACUUUUAAAUUUGUAAGACUUAUUUAUGCUUUGCUACGUUAGUGUGGAUCUAGAACUUAAUGCUUGUGUGAUGAUCAUAGUUUGAUGUAUUAUUUAUUUCCACUUUAUUGAUGUGAUAUAUCUUGUCAUAUGCAUCACAAUUCUAUUCAUGCCACACUUUGCACCCCAUGAAUGCAAGGAUAUAGGGGGAGCUCUCUUAAAAUGUGCAAAUGACAUUUGAGGCCAUUUUUAACCUUAUCUUGAAAAAUGCACAUAUUAAGGGGGAGCUUACCUAUAUGAUUGAAUUCAAAAUGAUUAUAUACUUCUCUUGUGAGUCUUAAUUAUGUUGUCAUCAAUCACCAAAAAAGGGAAGAUUGAAAGUGCAUUUGGCCCCCUAAGUGGGUUUUGGUGUUGAUAACAUGCAUAAUUAAGGAACUAAUAAAUUUAUCGAGAAAUUGAUAGGUUUAAAUCUUAAGAAAUAAAAAAAAGUGCAAGAAAGGACCCCAAUUUGUUUGAAGGAUGGUGUUGAAGCAUAAAGGAAGAUCUUUUUAUACUUCCUAUUUUUGAAUUUGAGUAUAGGAACACCGUACUAUAAAGGGGGACGCGGAUGGAUAGCUUGAAGAUGUCAAAAUACUUGUUUGAGAUGCUAACCACCUAUGAGAGACACCACUCACACACUUGCACAUUUAGUUUCUCACAGUUUUUGUGAGUGUCGGAAGUCCCAACACCUGCCGGAAGUUUUCAAAAACUUCCGACAGGGGGGUGCUCAGUAGAUUUAAUUGAAUAGUGUCGGAAGUUUCAACCCUGUGUCAAAAGUUCCGAUGAUAGUUGAAACAAUGUCAUAAGUUUUGAUAAUCACUUAACAUAAUAGCAACGGCUAGUUUUUGGGGCUCGGAUAUUUAUACCCCCUCAGCCCCCCCCCCCCCCUCAUUUGUUGCUAACCUAACCCGAGACAAACACCUCCUAGAGCAUUCAAUACUCCUCCCCCUCCCUCCUUGAGCUAAAUCUUUGAGAGUUUUGAGCUAGGGUUUGGGUGGGAGAAGGAUUUGAGGUGUUCGACUCUAGCUUUGAGUGUGAGGUCAACCAAGUUCAUCUCAAGAGCACUUGAAGCAUCUUCGGUCUUUGAUUCGUGUUUGUUACUCUUGAAGCUUGCUUCUAGAUGGUUCAGCGUUGCCCAUUUGAGCGCCCUCUCGUUGUGGUGCGCCCAUGAAGUUUGUAUUGCCCAUCCUCUUGGAGGAUUUGUAUUAAAUGACUCAAUUCUCCUUUGUGGUUGAUUGAGAGAGGUAAAGGGUUAGUGAGGACCUGGCUCUUUGUGAGCUCCUCAACGGAGAUGUAGCUUCCUUUGUGGAAUGGACUUCGGUAAACAAAUACUUUAUCUUGUGUGCUUAUUGUGUUCUUCAAGUUCUUGUUGACCUAGAGCUUGAUUUGUGCCGAUCUAUUUUCUUGUGAAGUUCCUCUUAUAAAGAUCACAUGCAGUAGUCUCUAUACUUCAUUGCUAAACUUUUGAUUCAAAUAGUUUCUAUACUUCAUUGCUGAAGUUUUGAUACAAAUAGUUUCUGCUGAAACCUGUUUUAUUUUGAAUUUUGUAGACUGUUUUAUUUUGAAUUUUGUAGAGUACUUUUAACUCUGUCGGAAGUUCAACCCUUAUACCGGAAGUUCCGACAUUUUUAACACCACUACGAAGAAUUUUCAGAUUUUAAAGAUCAAACCUAUUCACCCUUCUCUAGACAUCACAUGAUCCUUUCAGGUAUUAUGCAAUUUAAUGGUGCACUCAUGUUCUACGUUUAGAAAAUGCAAAAAAAAUUGGUCAUGAGUAAUCUAAGGCGUUAGGGGCCAACUCUGAUAUUCAUUGUGCAAGUUCGGCUCUAAACUAUAAUGCGAUUUUGUAGUGGAUCGUACAUUUCCUUUUUCAAGUCUGCAAAAAGACCAUGGAAAGUGAAAUAUUUGCAAGAUAAUAUAAUUUCAGAAUUGCAGCAUAAAUUGUUUAUUUGCAUCCAAGAGCAGCCACACGCACGAAUGUCCAUGUCGUUACUGAAUCGAAUAAUGCAUCGGCUGCAAACAAGAUAAGAAAUGAAUUUGUACACAUGUUUCCAAUAAGCUCAACAACCGUAAAAGAACAUCACGCCUGGUAAAAAAAAAAGCAUCAGCUUGAAAACGGGAACUGAAACCUUAAAAGGAGAGGGCACAUCAAUAGAUAGUAAUUUACAUCUAUAAUAAAGCUCUUUAUUUUCAGACUUAGUACAGACCACUUUAUCACUUGAUCCACACUGCCACACUGGUACCAAACUGAAAUGCCACAAGAAAAAGAUGUAGUACAACAGACUACUCUCCACCAAUGGACUCAAAGUCCCGAAUCACCAUCAUGCCAUCCUUGAUCCUGGCAACCUAAGACUGGAUGGUGCCAAUGAUCUUGACAAACAUCAGACUGGUAUUCAAAGAUCUGUGUGGUUAUCAAAGCAGAGAGCUGCUCUUGCUAUAAUCUGGACUGCACCUUGUUCUGCACGCCCCCAAAAACAAAUUGGACGGAAAGCUAUCUGUGAAUUACACCAACUGAUAACGAAAUGAAACAUAUGCAGUAGUACUCAAAUUCUUUUGUGGGUGAAUUUAUGACAUUACUCUGUCACAUUUGCAGGAAGGCAUGGCCAUGCCCAAGAUAACAGCAGCCACAAGAAGAACAUGCGAAUGAAAGGUGAGCCUUAACAGAGAGAAGCAGCAAGAGGCAACUUGUUGCCUGCCGGGAAGGUUGUAUUGUUGUGAUUACCAAUUGCUCUGUACCGAUUGCAAUAGAGAUGAACCAUGGAAGAACUUGCUAAUAACCUUAUGGCACCACGGAGUGACGCAGACAUCUUCUAAAAAUCUGAAACAAUAGAACACAAUCACCAAAAGCUGUUAUAAUAUGCAGAUUUGAGCAGAGAGCCCAUGAAGCAAUAAGCAUAUGGAGAUGCUAUAGUAAAUUAACCUACUAGUUAUUGCAACGAAUCGCGGUUCAAGUACUACCCUAGUUGGUCGGUUGUAAAUAAAACCCUAUAUGCCUUUGUACCAAUUAUUCAUGCAGGCAGCGUACUUCAUGUAACAAACAAUCCCCAUGCCACAUAAAAGAGAAAAAGGACAGAAUUUAUUUCCUUCCUCUGAGAUAUUGCUCAAAUUGCCUUAUAGAUAGGAGAUGUAAAGUCACAACUAACAACACAAAAAAAGGGUACAUAUGAUCCUCUCAAGACACAACCCUAUGACUAUUCAACAAUUAGGAACUGUGUUUGAUGGUGGCUAAACUAAAUAGUGUUCAAGGGACAAAAAUCCCCGGAACUUCCCAGGGAUCUGCACUUCUGCAGGUACCAGUUUAUAAAUCAAGUGGCACUCCAGAACUAUGCUCCUUUCAUUGUUGCAGUGAUAAUAUAGGAUGUUAAGUUACGCAAAACAAUUAUAAGCCUGUGUGUUCAAAAAUCAGAAAACAGUUAUGAGCUACUUUUUCCAACAUAUAAGGACUGAAAUUCAGUUAUGCACAGUUCGUUGAUCUACAGAACAACUAAAUAGUUCAAGUGCCCAACAAAUUUCAAAAGAUUUACUAUUUCUGCAUAGAUAGAUUUACCACUACAUCAACACCUGUGCCAUACAUCUGCGACUAUGCCAGAAAGAGCAGAGCAGAAUGGAGUCGGAACCUUGAGAAGACUCUUCAGAUGCACCAGGCAGUUUUUCUUCCCAGUUGAUUCCCCUGUCGACCUGAAAGACAAUAAACUGAUGCGAACCAUUUAUCAUGUAGAGUGGGAGUGGCAUCAGAGACGUGAAGGACAGGUAGAAAUAGUAACUUCAAGCAGACAUGGUAAAUUGCAGCUGCCAAGGAAGGUUUUGCUGUAGCUUUUAAUCUUGAGAUGAAUUACUGAUACACAAUGGUGGAACAUCACAAAGUGAGCAUUGUCCAAACUGUACACAUGCAUUGCUAUCCCUAUAAGAACAUUGCAGGCACCUUUAGAGCCUGUUGGCAGGAUUCAUUGUUAUAUACCAAACACAUGUCAAAGGUACCUAUGACUAAAUAAUAUCAAUAAAUUAGUUGAUAUUAGAGUAGUAGUGCAGGCAUAAAUGGGUUAGUGCAGGCCAAUAUGAAAUACAAUGUUGGUGGGGAAUACAAAAGAAGAACAAGGUAACAUAAUUACAACAAGAGACCUGUCUGCGCUUGAAACAAAUACCAGGUCAUUCAGCUUCCCAUUUGGAAAAAGAGAGCAAAGAGCUAUGAUUGCAGGAGCUCACCUAAGGCUGCAAGAAAUGCGGACAUGCAUGCUUAGCAGCAGUAGAAGUUCAGUUUCCUAGGGUCAUUGAAGUGUUAGUGGAUGUACAAUUUGUGUUUUUUUUUUUUGCUGGUGGAAUGAAGUUAAUGAUUAGUCGCCAUUUCCUCGUAUAAAUAAUAUAAUAAAAGUAGCAUUAAAACAUUUCUUUAGUGAGAAAAGCAUCAUCAUCAAAACAUGCAUCAGAUGUUGCCUUUUACAUAUGAGUGUCUCCCCAUAAAACAGGACAUGUUUGUGAUGUCAGUGCUUCAACAUCUGAAAGGCAACCUCCAAUUCAGUCUUAUCUUCACAAUUAUGGCUUUUGACACUUCAGUAUUAUCUUCACAAUAUCAUCUGAACAUGGUACCAUUUUCUAACAUGUUCUGUUGGGAAAAAAAAGGGAAACAAGCUAGCUGAGCAAUUGAAGCUGCUACAGGCAAAUGCUUGUACCUCAGCCAAGCAUGAACAACUUGUGAACUUCACGGCACAACUGAAGCUAAGCUAGUUGAAAUGUUCCACCUUUUACGUAGAAGAUAUGACCAAAAUCAAGUAAGUUUUCAGCAGUGCUGUGUUCAAUGAAAUACCAGUUCCUACUUGAGGAGGCAAUGUACACUGUCAUUGCUGUUGUCACAAAAGAACAGAAGAGACUUACAGAGCGAUGGUGUGUGUACCUUGGCAGGCGAGCUCGGAGGAGAAAUGGCCAGUGGAGGUGAUGAGAAGCGUGCUGAAAUUGCCUAGCGCAAGCCCCAAGAACUGACCACAGCCACCUUCCCGGCGGCACCAUUGUUAGUUCCUUGUCCCCUCUCUCCCUCUUCCUGUCCUCCAAGAGUGGGCAACAAGUUGGUCACAAGAAAGGACAGUGAUGCGACGGAUAACUCCAGAUCCAGGCUCACCCAUGCCAGGUCCGAUGAAGGCGGCGCUUGUUGUUGCUCACUAGCGUGCCAUAGCAUCAUUCCACUAGGGCUUGGCUGCAGUAGAGGAGAGAGAGGGAGGCAAUGACAGGGAGAGUAGGGUCAGUCACCAUCGAUGUAUGAACCUUAAUGUAGAGGGUCCUCAUUAACAAAAAGAAAAUCACACUGAAAGUAUAGCAUCGGAGAGUCUAAUCAACACUGCCUGAUCUGCUGAAUGAAUAUGCUACCAAAAACAACCCUUAUAUGUGGGGCACCAAAAACAUCAUCGAAGCAAAAAGUAAGUGGGUAAUUGCAUAUCAAGCAGAUCACUGAAAUCUACAAAAAAAAAUACUUGCAAAUGAAGCCAACUAACUGUUUUUUAAAAAAAUAACAUAUAUAGCCUAUCUGUGGCAAAUGCAUGCUAGAACAGAUUCCAAAAAAUAUUCAUUUACACAUAUUGUGGGAAAAAACUUACCUCCACAUCAGAAGUCCUUAUCCAUUUUUUUCCUAAGAUGCAACCAGCUCGUCACACCUCGAUCAUGCCAAUAGAGAAAAUAGCACAUGUAAUUGACUGUUAGUGUCCAGGUAAUUUCCUGUCUUACAAACAAGAGGAUUUUCUGGGCAUCUAAGCUUGUAACAAUCAACUGGAGCCAGCUCCAGCAAGAAAAUGAUACUUUUCUGGGAGAUAUUUUAUCUGCUCCUGACAUGUCCCUCUGCUUGUGAAGAGAUCGACCAACAACAUUGUUGUUGAAUCUUCAAGAGAGAAGUUUCUCUCAUCAAUUUUAGAAAGAUAAGUUCCAGCCCUGACUAUUUCAUGUUUCUCUAGCAACGCCCUGACCACAUGAUUCAGCAGUCGAGAGUUGGGAUCAAAGCCAGCAUUCUCCAUGGAUGAAAAGACAUCAUCUGCCUCUUCCGGUAACCCUUCUUUAAUAAGAUUUGUCAUCAUUAAAUCAUAAGUCUCAACAGAAGGCACAAGCCCACUUGCAGGGAUGGAAGCAAACAGAUAUUUAGCUCCUUCAGCACUCCUAGUUUUGAACAUUACAGCAAUCAUAAUAUUAAUAGUUAUAAUAUCAAUCUUUACGUUCAUCGCUUGUAAUUUCUUGAAAAGCCCAAUUGCUUCAUCAAAGGAAUUGUUUUUGCAAAGUCCAUGAAGAACGGUGUUGUAUGUGUCAGUGCCCACUGAGAUCCCGCUCUCGAUCAUUUCAUGGAAUCUUUCCUUCGCAGAAACUGUUCUCCCAGCCUGGAAUAACCCAUCCAGUACAAUGUUGUACGCAAUAGUUGAGGGCUUAAUUCCCUUAUGCACCAUUUCUCUGAAAACACUCAACCCAUCAUCAAUCCUUCCAAUUUUACAAUAGCCAUUAACAAGUGUGCCAUACACUGCAACAUCAGGUUCAAUGCCAGCUGACACCAUAGCAUCAAAUACUCUCAAUGCUUUCUCCAUCUUGCCAACUAGGCAGUAUCCAUCCACCAGCGAACUAUACGCAAAAACAUCAGGAUGCAGACCGAUACUUACAAGUAAGUCAAAUAUAUCCUGUGCGUCCACUACCCUUCCCUCUUUGCAAAGGCUGUUUAUUAUUGAAUUUAAGUGCACAAUGUCAGGACGCAUGCCUUUACUCAUCAUUUCAAAAACCAAUUCCUUAGCUUUCAGCAAACCACCAUGAGUACAAAAACCCUGAAUCAGGCACUGGUAAGUAGCUAUACUGGGUGCUACUCCUUGAUCAAUCAUUUCAUUAAAUAUUUCCAUAGCAUCGUCCAUUUUAGCCAUCCUGCAAUGUGCAGCUAUGACUGUCAAAUAGGUUACCACAUCAGGUUUUGCUCCUUGAUGCCUCAUUUCACUGAAGAUAAUCAUAGCCCGAUCCAGCAUUCCACAUUUAGCAUAUCCCUUGAUCAGUACAUUGAAAAUACGGACGUCAGGUGCAACACCGUCUCCUAGCAUCAAAUUGAAGAGGUCUGUCAU
rnacentral:lncRNA from 1 species